AUGGUUUCCAUAGUUAUGUUGAUAAAUGACUUUCCAUAGUCAUUUUGGGAACACACACAGAAAUUCAGAGGUUAUGUUCAAAGGACUUAAGAUCCUCUGGAAAAGGUGUAACAUUAACACUCAAAAAUAGGUUCUUUAAUAACUAGUUAAUUAAUUGGGAUAAUUUUAGGGGACCAGUUAGAAGCCCAAGUAUUUUUGUAAUAUUAUAGAGUGCUUCUUUUUAUACUUUUUUAUUCCAUUAAUGUAUAAAUUAAACAAGCUUUUGUUAAAUGUACUCACUAUAUUACAGAACAUGCAGAAGCAAUCUGAUCAAAUAUUCUAGCAGUUAGAAAAAGCAGAAACAGCACUUUCUUGUUAGAUAAUCACCCAGAUACUUCGAAAACAAAGUCUGAUUCUUUAGAAUCAGAUAUAUUUAAAUAUUCCUAAGACUGUGUGACUCUCUUUUUCCAAUUCUUAAUUUUGUUUUGUAUUUUUUUCCAUUGUGAUUGUUUUUCAAUGAUAGUGCACUUCAAGGUGUUAUGUUUUCUAAAUAAGUGAAGUACAAAAAUAUCAUUUCUCAAUGUAGUGUAUUUUUUUAGAUUUGUGAUAUAUAUGACUUUCCAAAAAAUUUUAUUGUAUUCAGGUAUACUGAAAUGCUGAAAUCAUAUUGUAUAGCUCCUUAAUAUCACAAAGUGCCCUGAAUCCCCUUGCAUGUGUGUGAGUAUGUGUGUGUGUAGGUAAGUUUUUCUCCAUAUUUCGGCUAUGUCAUAGAAAAAGCCUGCAUUGAUACAU